rnacentral:rRNA from 1 species
CAGCAGCCACGGUAAUACAGAGGGUGCAAGCGUUAAUCGGAAUUACUGGGCGUAAAGCGCGCGUAGGUGGUUUGUUAAGUUGGAUGUGAAAUCCCCGGGCUCAACCUGGGAACUGCAUCCAAAACUGGCAAGCUAGAGUAUGGUAGAGGGUGGUGGAAUUUCCUGUGUAGCGGUGAAAUGCGUAGAUAUAGGAAGGAACACCAGUGGCGAAGGCGACCACCUGGACUGAUACUGACACUGAGGUGCGAAAGCGUGGGGAGCAAACAGGAUUAGAUACCCGGGUAGUCCCUGUCUCUUAUAC